UAACUUGCCUAGGAAUAGUCUUUUGCUCGUUAUAAACUCCAUUCCCCUCCCAUUAACACUUCCGUAAUAUUACUAAAAAUGGGAACUGGUCUGUACUGAAGCUGUAUAAGCUGAAACCAGAUGAAUUCUAAGAGGUAAGUUUCGUGCCUGAUGUAUGGGUCACACAGAAAGUUCACCAAACUGCCUGGUGCCAUAACCAGAAACAUUCAAACUGCAAACUAGAAUGAUAAGUUGAUAGCUGCAUGCUGUAGAUAGCUUUUUUCCAAGACAUUGGAACAAGACUCCAUAUCAUAAUGAGACUCUUUCCCCUUUUAACGCCUACUUUUUACACUUGGCAGGAUAAUGGUGUAAUUGAAAUUUCACAUUCAGUAGCUUCUGCUGGUAACUUGACUGAACCUGAGCUAUGAGAUGCUUUAGUCUACCUAGUGGAGGUACAACCCCUAUGAGAGUAAUGUUGGCCUAGCACUUUGAGAUGAUAAUCAAUACCUGUGGAACAGACAUAUUGAACUUACCAUGGACCCAGGUAGACCUAGCCUGAGAACCACUACCUCCAUACCUCCUUUGAAAUUGCUCAAAUGUAGAUAAGAAAGUUUUGACACUGACUUACUCAUCAAUUACUGUCUCUGAUGUGGGACCAGACCAGACCAACCAGGACAGGUUCAUCUAGGCACCAAGGGACAAUCAAAACUUAAAUACAGGAAAUUGAUCAUCAAUGCUUGUGGGUUGUGGGUAAAGAUCUUGAUCAAAAGGAGGAAAUGUCUGAAAGCUGUAAGAAUCAAAAUGGAGUCACUUGUGUUAAAACCCUGACAAAUAGAGCUGGGGAAGGCCAUGAAGUGAGGGUUCUUAUAUAUGAAUGCCUGAUAACAAAAACUAUCACAGAAGACUGCAAAAACCACAAUCUUGUGCAAAUGUAAUUACAAACUUACACACACACACACACACACACACACACACACACACACAAUGCUUCUUGAGAACAUCUGCCAAGCAACUGCCUGUCCAAACUUGGACUUGUGCCACCCUUGUUAUUAAUCUUUGUCGCCAAGUAUAAUUAUCUCAAAAUAAUUAUGUAAUUCUCAUUUUUUCUUUAAAAUGCUUUGUCUUCUUUUACCUUCCUGAAUAUGCACAUAGUUUACUAUGGCCUGUGUAUUCCCAUUGCAAUGCCGAUUCUCAAAUACAUACCAUUUUCUUUUAGAGAGUCUCCCUCUCUGUUAUUAAGGUUGACACAAUCAACCUAAACACAGAAGGCUGAAGGGCUUAGAGGACUUUGCCUAGAGGAAAAGGUGCUGCAAUGUUCAUUAGCCCAUUUUCAGUUUUAUAGGCAAACUAGGCCUGCCUAUCACCGAGACCAAAAACUCUCCAACUUAGUUAGGCAUAUCUCACCCUUCUGCUAUUGGUUCAGGUUUCGACAAAGCCUCCUCUUAAAGGACACCUUAUCCUCUCUGCUCUAGGACCCUAAACAUUGGCAACUCUGACAGGAAAGUUUCAGAAUUCUAUGUUCUGUCCAUUAUCAUUCUCUUUCUAUGGAAAACUCAAUUCCCCACCCCACCCCCCGACUUUAUUUUUACCUUGUUCAUACUCUUGUGUGUUAGGGUGAAUCACGGUCCCCAAAAAUAUCCAUGUCCUAGGACCCAGAACCUAUCAAUAUGUUACUUUACAUGGAAAAAGAACUUUGCAGAUGUGGUCAAGUCAAGGAUAUGGGGAUGAAGAGAUGAUUCUGAAUUAUCCAAGGGUCCUUAUAAAAGAAAGUUAUAUGAGAAAAAAAAGGGAUAAAGGCUAUGUGAUAUGAGGCCCUGAGUAAAAGAAUGAGGGCAGCCACUAAUGUUGGAAAAGGCAGGGAACAGGUACCACCUUCAAAAUUCCAGAAGGAAUCUGUUCUGCUGGCACCUUAGUUUUAAUCCCAUAAGAUUCAUUUUAAACUUCUGACCCCCAGCACUUGAGAGGAAAAAUUUGUGUUGUUUGAAGCUCCUAAGUUUGUGAUAGUUUGUUACAGCAACAAUUGGAAACUAAUAAAUCUUUAACAUGUUCUUGGAAACUAUGAAAGAAGGGUAUUUGAAAUAGACCCUAUUAUGGCUCUAUUAUGACUUACACCAUUGAGAUUCUGGUGUACAGAACUGGGAAAAAGUAGUCAAGUGGGAAGAAAUCCUCAAUACGUUGUCUUCAUAAUGCUUGUUUCUUACUCUGUAUGCUACUUAUUAAAUUUUACAUAUAUUAGUCUGCUCAAUUUUUACAAAAUGUGUUGAGCAGGUAGGGAAGAAACUCUUGAGCUCUUUUUACAGCUAUAGAAAAUGAGGUGCACAAUGUUUAAGUCAUGUAGCUUAAAUCAUACAGAAAAUCAGUUCAAAACUCAAAUUCUUGGGCUCCUCACCAGACCUUACUGAAUGAGAAUCUUUGUAGAUUUUUAUGCACAUUGAAGUUUGUGAUGCAUGAGUCCAGAACAGAGGUUGGCAUGCAGCUUGCAGGUUGAUUUUGUAAAUAAAGAUUUGAUAGAACAUG